rnacentral:rRNA from 1 species
GCCUGAAGUCAUACCACCUCAAGUGUGAUCUCGUUUGAUUUCACAAGCUAAGAAAGGUUAGACCUAGUCAGUGCUUGGAUAGAAGACUGCCAAGGAAAACAAACAAAACCAAUCA